rnacentral:rRNA from 1 species
CUGGCGGCGUGCCUAAUACAUGCAAGUCGAACGGUCUUUCUAUGGAAGCUUGCUUCCACUGAGAAGAUAGUGGCGAACGGGUGAGUAACACGUGGGUAACCUGCCCAUAAGAGGGGGAGUAACAUCCGGAAACGGGUGCUAAUACCGCAUAGUUUUCUUGAUCGCAUGAUCGGGAAAGGAAAGACGGCCUUUGUGCUGUCGCUUAUGGAUGGACCCGCGGCGUAUUAGUUAGUUGGUGAGGUAACGGCUCACCAAGACGAUGAUACGUAGCCGACCUGAGAGGGUGAUCGGCCACAUUGGGACUGAGACACGGCCCAAACUCCUACGGGAGGCAGCAGUAGGGAAUCUUCCGCAAUGGACGAAAGUCUGACGGAGCAACGCCGCGUGAGUGAAGAAGGUUUUCGGAAUCGUAAAACUCUGUUGUCAGAGAAGAACAAGUUGGAGAGUAACUGCUCCAGCCUUGACGGUAUCUGACCAGAAAGCCACGGCUAACUACGUGCCAGCAGCAGC